rnacentral:rRNA from 1 species
UACGUAGGUGGCAAGCGUUGUCCGGAUUUACUGGGCGUAAAGAGCGCGCAGGCGGUCGUGCAAGUCGCGUGUGAAAGCCCCCGGCUCAACUGGGGAGGGUCACGCGAUACUGCUCGACUUGAAGGCAGGAGAGGGAAGUGGAAUUCCCGGUGUAGUGGUGAAAUGCGUAGAGAUCGGGAAGAACAUCAGUGGCGAAGGCGGCCUGCUGGGCUGUUGCUGACGCUGAGGCGCGACAGCGUGGGGGAGCAAACAGG